rnacentral:rRNA from 1 species
CCUACGGGGGGCUGCAGUGGGGAAUAUUGGACAAUGGGCGAAAGCCUGAUCCAGCCAUGCCGCGUGUGUGAAGAAGGCCUUCGGGUUGUAAAGCACUUUCAGUGGGGAAGAAAGCCUUGGGGCUAAUACCCUCGAGGAAGGACAUCACCCACAGAAGAAGCACCGGCUAACUCCGUGCCAGCAGCCGCGGUAAUACGGAGGGUGCGAGCGUUAAUCGGAAUUACUGGGCGUAAAGCGCGCGUAGGCGGUCUGAUAAGCCGGUUGUGAAAGCCCCGGGCUCAACCUGGGAACGGCAUCCGGAACUGUCGGGCUAGAGUGCAGGAGAGGAAGGUAGAAUUCCCGGUGUAGCGGUGAAAUGCGUAGAGAUCGGGAGGAAUACCAGUGGCGAAGGCAGCCUUCUGGACUGACACUGACGCUGAGGUGCGAAAGCGUGGGUAGCAAACAGGAUUAGAUACCCUAGUAGUC